UUCUCAUCACCUACACAUAACACACACACUUUUGAGGUCUUUAGGGUUGUAGCUUGGCUUGGGUUAGGGUAUGGAUUAAAAAAGGAAAACAAGGGGCUUUUGGUUCAGAGUCGAUGUUACAUCCUGUGUUUGUUUCUUUUAUUUUCUCGGUUUUCUUUUCUUAUUUCUUUUUCACCGACUGCCCUUUUCCGUGCUUCUUU
rnacentral:lncRNA from 1 species